rnacentral:rRNA from 1 species
GUAGGUGGCAAGCGUUGUCCGGGAAUUAUUGGGGCGUAAAGCGCGCGCAAGCGGUUCUUUAAGUCUGAUGUGAAAGCCCACGGGCUCAACCGUGGAGGGUCAUUGGAAACUGGAGAACUUGAGUACAGAAGAGGAAAGCGGAAUUCCACGUGUAGCGGUGAAAUGCGUAGAGAUGUGGAGGAACACCAGUGGCGAAGGCGGCUUUCUGGUCUGUAACUGACGCUGAGGCGCGAAAGCGUGGGGAGCAAACAGGAUUAGAUGCCCUGGUAGUCCACGCCGUAAACGAUGAGUGCUAAGUGUUAGGGGGUUUCCGCCCCUUAGUGCUGCAGCUAACGCAUUAAGCACUCCGCCUGGGGAGUACGGCCGCAAAGGCUG